UGGAUCAAUGAUGAGGACCGGUCGAGGUACCCGAAUCCACACCUCUGAGGAAGGCCUCUGUGUGACUGAGGUCCAU
rnacentral:snoRNA from 1 species